AGAAUUUUGUCCCCCACGCCGAGCUGUUGCCCCGCCCUCGCCGCUGCCAUGGCGGCAGCUCCGCCACUCACCAAAGCUGAGUAUCUGAAGCGUUACUUGUCUGGGACAGAUGCUGGCUUGGAAGGAGGUCCCGAGGCCGGUCGCAAGCGGCGCAAAAAACGGCCGAAGCCUGGAGGCGCUGGCGGCAAGGGAAUGCGGAUUGUUGAUGAUGAUGUGGGCUGGGCGGCUAUCUCUACUGCUAAGCCGGAAAAGGAGGAGGAAGAGGAUGGAGAUUUGCCUGUGGUGGCUGAGUUUGUGGAUGAGCGUCCAGAAGAGGUAAAGCAGAUGGAGGCCUUCCGCUCCAGUGCCAAGUGGAAGCUUCUGGGAGGCCACGGUGAAGAUGGACAUUUUCAUCACGAUGACCAAGAUUCAUCUCCUCCUAGGAGGGUCCGUCAUGACACCCCAGACACAUCUCCUCCCAGAAAGGCCCGUCAUGACACCCCAGACCCAUCUCCUCCCAGGAAGGCCCGUCAUGACACCCCAGACACAUCUCCUCCCAGAAAGGCCCGUCAUGACACCCCAGACCCAUCUCCUCCCAGGAAGGCCCGUCAUGACACCCCAGACCCAUCUCCUCCCAGGAGAGUUCGUCAUGACACCCCGGAUCUAUCUCCCCCAAGGAGAGUUCGUCAUGACACCCCGGAUCUAUCUCCUCCCAGGAGAGUCCGCCAUGACACCCCGGAUCCAUCUCCUCCCAGGAGAGUCCGCCAUGACUUAGAUGCUUCUCCCCCCAGGAAGUCUCAUCGUAAUUCUUCAGCCGUAUCUCCUAGGAGAGGCCAUCAUGGUUCCUUAGGUACCUCUUCUCCGAGACAGACCCAUAACCACUCCCCUACUGCAGCCCAGCAUAGAAGGACUCUUGACUCUUCAGGUACACAGCAUCUCAGGAGGGCCCAUCAUGAGUCCCCUGAUUUGGAACUGCACAAAGCCAAAAGUAGUAAAGCUGCAGAAAGAGCCCCUAGCAAGGCUGCAUCCCAGAGUGGGCUAGGACCCUCUCACCCAUCACUCUCCACCAACAGCAAGUACGAGCACGACUCUGACCUCUCUCCUCCACGGAAACGGCAAGCAAAGGCUCAUUUUGAAGCUAAGAAACAGCUUGAUUCUAAAGGUGUCUACCAAAAAGCCUCUGAUUCAGAUCUUUCUCCUCCACGGAAAAAAAAAAAUUCGGGGCACCAGGAUUCUGAUUCAGAUCUGUCACCACCACGGAACAGACCAAGGCGGCAGAGCUCUGACUCCGACCUCUCUCCACCCCGGAGAAGACAGAGGACCAAAUCCUCUGAUUCUGACCUCUCUCCACCUCGAAGGAGUCCCCGUCCUGGCAAGAAGACUGCACACAUGUAUUCCGGAGCAAAAACUGGGUUGGUCACUGAUGUUCAGCGGGAGCACCAGGAACUCAAGAAACAAGACCAGGACACCACAGACCUCGGAGUUUGAAUUCACUGAAACUGUAUUUCGAGACAAGUCUGGUCGGAAGAGGAAUUUGAAGCUAGAGCGCUUGGAACAGAGGAGAAAAGCAGAGAAAGACUCAGAGCGAGAUGAGCUAUAUGCCCAGUGGGGGAAAGGGCUUGCCCAGAGCCGGCAGCAGCAACAGAAUGUAGAAGAUGCAAUGAAGGAGAUGCAGAAGCCUCUGGCCCGCUACAUAGAUGAUGAAGAUCUGGAUCGGAUGCUGAGAGAACAAGAAAGAGAAGGGGACCCGAUGGCCAACUUUAUUAAGAAGAAUAAAGCUAAGGAGAACAAGAAUAAGAAAGUGAAGCCCCGCUACAGUGGUCCUGCUCCUCCUCCCAAUAGAUUCAACAUUUGGCCUGGGUAUCGCUGGGAUGGAGUGGACAGAUCCAAUGGCUUUGAACAGAAGCGCUUUGCCAGGCUCGCCAGCAAGAAGGCUGUGGAGGAGCUUGCCUACAAGUGGAGUGUGGAGGAUAUGUGACACCACCCCCCCCCCAGGCCAUGUGACCCCUGAGGCCAUGUGAUGCUGUGGUGCUGUUAGCACCAGCUCACAUCCAGCUCUAAAGGAGUCCUGCUAAGAGACGCAGACCAGCAAGUUGCUGUCAGCCUGACCUUUGGACAGGCACCUAACCUGGCUGUGCCCUCACUGUCUGUGGCUGGCUUGGGCAGGACACGGUGACUUCUUUAUCCCAGGGUUUGUUCUUGGCCAGUGUUUUCCUUUUUCUUAAAAAUAAACACAUAUUUAUUUUUUUAUAAUCA